GGGCCGCUAGCUCAACUGGCAGAGCAGCUGACUCUUAAUCAGCUGGUUAGAGGUUCGAGUCCUCUGCGGCUCA
rnacentral:tRNA from 1 species